UCUUUCCACAGCCAGAGAGAUCAGCGUUUGUAUUGUAACAGCCUGUUCUGGUUAAUAUGUUAAUAUUCAGGACAGCCAACAGGUGAAAAUAGAACCAUUUUAACACCUGGUGUGGAUGACCCUAGCUGAGAGGGGCUGAGCUCCCUGAGGAAGAGAGCCCCGGACUGCUGCCCGCCGGGAUGACCUCUCCAAGAUGAGCCUUCAGCCACCUUCCCAUGAGAGGACAUUGCUCACAAAGCAACCACCUCAUCUCUACCUGUCAGUUCUCUAAGACCUACAGGAAAUAAGCCUAGGGGACAAUAUUCACCUCUGCUGGCUACUGAAGUUCAGCAGCUCAGCAGAGAUGUUUGCCUCGUGUCAUCCUGCAAUGUUUCACCUUCCAUUCACUUUCUAAUCCCUCUCUGACCUCAGGUGCUCCCUACCUGGUGCUGUCCCGCCCGAGAACAUCACCUCUCCCCUUGCACCACCCUCUGUGGUCCACAGGCAUCGUUAGCUUAUUCUUUUAAAGUGAUUUUUAUUGAAAGUAAAGUGAAUCCAAAGCAAUUGCUCUCAAUUGGGACCAUCCAUUUGUUGCUUCUGCCUCAGACCUGUAAAAAAGAACUUGUUUGGCCAAAGAUUUACAUACAGCUUUUGAGUGCAAAGGCUGGUCUAAUGAAAAAUGAGAGCUACAGUCUUUUCCUUGUCUGUGUCCGUAGAGCUAUUACAACAUAAAUAAGCGGUUGGACAUAUCCACUUCCCAUCAUUACAGAAAGGCUCAGGCUCCCUUCUGGAACCAAGUAACUCAUAACAAAGGCAGAGCGAUUCCAGUGCUAUCGCUGGUGGUUUGUGCGAAUCAAAAAGACACGCAGACACAGCAGAGAAAGAAGAUAGCAAGUAAGCACAGACAAACAGAGAGCUCUUCACAGCAGGAAAAAUCCCCCCCGCCCUAGUGCAGACUUUUGGCUGAAAGAUAAUGCCUUUGUUCCCAGCUCCAAGAUGCUGUCACUCCUAUUUCAUUUCUUCUGCUCUAAAAGAAACAGACUUUUCACAUACUUUGUAAAUGAAAGGGAUUGCAUUAAAAACCUGUUUAUUGUUAUUUUUUUCUUAGCAGAAACUGCCUGCGGGGUCCCUCCCUUUGGCCAACAGCUUGACAGAAAGCAGUAAUAGUCCUGUGAGCGAGCCUGAUGUGUUACAUGCACCCUCGUUAGCCAUUAUUGAUCCAAGGGAAGGAGAAGCAAGCUGUACUGGGUGGAUGCUGGAGCAUUUGAGCAGAGGCUGUCAAUACUGGAACUGAUCAGAUGGUCGAGUUUCGUGUACUGUGGUGAUUAACACUCGGGGAUGUCUG